AUGAUUAUUAUUAUUACUACAUUUUUUUAAUGGUUGACUUUGGACAUUUCAGUUUUCUACUCCCUUAUUUUGAUAAUUCUGCAUUGCUGGGAUGUUCUCUACUUUCCCAAUAUGGACAGUGUAAUCUAUUUGUUGAAAAAUGAAAACUUUGUUCUUAGUUUGCUCUAUAUAGAUGCACAAAUAGUUGAUAGAGCGUAUUUUUUUAGUGGAGUUUGAAUUUAGACAUUGAUAGGUUAGGGAACUGAGGCUGAUUGUUUGUGGUUCAAUUAGGGUCUUAUCUAGGGUAAGUAACUGAGGCUGAUUGUUUGUGGUUCAAUUAGGGUCUUAUCUGGGGUAGGUACUUGAGAAUUUUCUGGGAUUGCCUAUGUAGUCUUGUAAUAUAUUGAAUACAUAAUCUUUUCUUCCAUAUAUGCAGUCUGUGGCCUGGUACCUUUCUGUGCCAGGGGUAUGUUUUUCCCCAGAAAACCUGAUCUGAAACUCUCUCUCUUCCUGAAUGCUCUAAGUUAUCCUUUAAUAGAAAGUGGUUCUCCAACAACUGAAAGAAACAAAAAAAAAAAACACUUUUCUUGGAAAUUCAAGAAAAGGGUUUGAAGAUUUUCUCAGGAAAGUGACUGCCAAAUUUGAAUUUUAAGAAAAGGCUGUGGAACAACAACAAGAUGGGCUUUUCCAUGCCACCACUGGCACGGAAGUUGAGGCCGAUGAUGCUGUCCCUGAGAUUUUUUUUGUGCUUUCAUAUGGUUUAGACUAAUGGGUUUUUUUCUGGAUUCUGAUUGAUUGAAUUGAAUUGCAAGUUAUCUUUGCUUUUUGGAAUUUCCUGGUUCUUGAAUGUUAUUGAUUUGGUUCUUGUUACGAAGCUUAUCUUAAAAAUAUUGUGAGAAAAGAGAAGUAGUAAUGAAGGAAACAUUUAUCAAAAAAUUUGAAGAAUAGCCAAAGAGAAUGUAUCUGAACUGUGCUGAUCAUACAGAUUUUAGAGACUGACCUUUCUUCCAUAAAAAUUGGAUAGUUUUCAUGUUUGAAGAUUUCCCGUCUGGAAUUUUUGUUAUUUUCCAUUCUGUAUUGAUUAUAUAUAUUAUUAAAUGUUUGUUUCUCCAACUGCAGUUGAUAGAUCGGAUCCAAGAAAGGCAAUUUCCUUGUUAUGGUCUGCCAUAAAUUCUGGGGACCAGGUUGAUAGUGCCUUGAAAGACAUGGCAGUUGUGAUGAAACAAUUGGAUCGAUUUGAUGAGGCAAUUGAGGCUAUCAAAUCUUUUUGUCAUCUCUGCCCUUUUGAUUCUUAGGAAUCUCUUGGCAAUGUGUUAGUUGAACUCUACAAGGUAAAACUAAAACCAGUUUUAUCCAAUAAAUAGUUUCUUAUAUUUUACUUGCCAUUCUUUGUCAUUUUCCUUUCAGCUAGUUACAUAUAUUGGGGCAACAACAACAAGAAAGCUGGAGUGUGGCAAGGAUAAAUGAUAUUACAGGACUAAAUUUGCAGAGAAGAACUUUUACCUUCAAAAAAAAUAAAAGCAGCCACUAAUGAUUGCUAUUCUGCCAACAAAAUUUGAGAAGGUGAUUUUGGUCCUGUGUACAAGGUUCGGUGCAGGGUGAACUACCUGAUGGUACUGUCAUAGCAGUUAAGCAACUCUCAUCUAAAUCAAAGCAAGGAAAUUGUGAAUAUUUAAAUGAAAUAGGCAUGAUUUCUUGUUUGCAACACCCAAAUCUGGUGAAGCUUUAUGGAUGUUGUAUUGAAGGGGAGCAAUUAUUGUUAGUCUAUGAGUACAUGGAAAAUAAUAACUUAGCCCAUGUAUUAUUUGGUGAGUAUUAUGUAAUCUUGCUUAGCACUGAGCUAUUAUGAAAAAAAAAUGAGAUGAACUUUUUUCCAUUGUUGUUGAGGGUGUGGUGGUUUUUUUCCUUUUUGAUUUGUCUGUGCACUCUAUAUAUUGAUGGAAGACAAUUCUCAGUAGAAGGUGCAAAGCACCUGUGUUCUCAUGUUGUGGCAAAUUUUGCUGUGACUUCAGUUCUUGCUUUCCUUUGUGUUGUUGCAUAGAUUCUUAAUGAAUGUUUUCA